CUCUCUCUCUCUGCCCAUCCCCCAACUCAUGCUCUGUCUCUCUGUCUCUCAAAUAUAAAUAAAACAUUUAAAAAAACAUUAAAAAUGAAUAAAAUCUUUUUAAAAAUAAAAGCAUAAUAGUCGAUUGAAAGAAAGGGCAUAUGAUCAAGCAUAACAAGUAACAAGUGUUUCCAAACCACUGAUGACAGUGACUAUGGACUGUGUUGUCUGCUCUUGUGUCCUGGGGCUUUGUCCCCUGCCUUGUGCUUAGGGCACACACUUCAGGGCAUCAUCCCUCUACUUGCCUUCCAGAAGUUUCACAGUAGUAAUCAACUUAUUGGUGUUUGGAGUGUGUGUGUAUGCUGCUAACUUCUACAAGGCUAACUGGAAGCUGCUCACAUGUUAUCAGCACCAGGUAUCCAUCAUGCAGGGAACCCAGAUUUGCAGAUAUAAAGAGGAUGCACCUGUAGCAUUGCACUGACGCGUUUCAAUUAUACCCUUGCAGUGUAGACGCAAAGAUAGGCAAUGCCAAGCCCUGUACAAGUAGAAAUGGUAAGAACCACAUGGUUCUAGAAGAAAGCUCACCAAGUGCUGGGACAGUCGGAAAAGGCUCCAGAUCAGAGACAGGGCUUGCACUGGGCCUUCCGUCCGUCACAAAUGCUUGGUAAGUGUCCGCUGUAUACAGGCACCAGCCAGAGUUUCGCAGACAGCAGUGAGCAAACCGGCAGCCAUGCCCCGUCGCCGUGUGUGAAAGGAGAACCAAGAGGAAGCCAGCACGCAAGACCCCUCGCGACUGAGGGAAAAGCAGCACCAGAAGAGCUCGCAAGAAGUGGACUGAGCAUCUACAGUCUGCCAGACACAGGUGGAGAAAGAGAGCGGAGGCUUACGGAGGAACCGCCACCCCCACGUGAAUCAUCACAGCACAGCCAAAGAGCAGCACGUUCCGUAAAGCAGAGGGGCCAAGAGACGAGCCAGAAGGCCGGAGGAGGAGGAGGAGACCUCUGACCUGCAGGAUCUGUACCAGGGACCACAGCAACCUCUGGGUGGAGAGCAAGGGCACAGCCCUGAGGAGGCGGAAGGGUGUGUCAGAGGCAGGAGAAGGCAUUUCGGAAGGCUUGCUGCGCUGCUGGGCUCCUCGCUAAGGGAAAUGGGAACCUCCAGGGCAGUUCAAGCAAGGAGUGAUAUGAUCCAAUUUAACUUAAAAAGAUCAACCUUUUUGCUGUGGGACAAAAUGGAAAACAGGGAGACCCAUUUGUGUCUCUUGCAGUGAACCAGACUACGGUGCUACGGGAGAGCUGACCAGAGACUGCAGACGCCUUGCAGGACUGGGAGGUGCUGGAACUUGGUGCAACCCAGGCAGCAGCUGAGACACCAGAAGGGCCACGCCCCAGGAGUCAGGGCAGGAGUAAGGGACAAAGUAAAUUACCUGAAGUGAAGAGCUCAUUGAAUUUUCUGAACAAUAGGGCACAGCUGAAGAGAGGGUUUUUCAACUCAAAGUUCCAUCAGGAGAAAGCACCUGAAAACUCAGAAAAAAAAAAAUCAAAAUGAGAAAAAGAUAACAGAAAGCAAUGUUAGAGAUGUGUGAACAGGAUCGAAUGGUCUGAUGUACAACAGUCGAAAGUUGUACUUCCAGAAGGAAGGAGAAAGAAAAUGGAGUAGAAAUAUUUGAAGAGAGAAUGUGUAAGAAUUUUACACAGUGGGGCGCCUGGUUAGCUCAGUCGGUUGAGUGUCCGACUCUUGAUCUCAUCUCAGGAUGUGACCUCAUGGUUUGUGAGAUGGAGCCCUGCGUCAGGCUCCACGCUGGGAGUGGAGCCUGCUGGGGGUUCUCUCUCUGCUCCUUCCCUUCGCUUGUGCUCUCUCUCAAAAUAAACAUAAAGAAUUUUACAAAUUGAUAAGAAUACACCAACCACAGAUCCAAAAAGUUUGGUAAACCCCAAAGAGAACAAAUUCAAAGAAAAACAUGUGGAGGCAUAUCACAGUCCAGCUUCUGAAAACCAAAGAUAAGAAUAAAAGUCCUAACAGGAGAGGCGCCUGGGUGGCUCAGUCGGUUAAACGUCUGACCUCGGCUCAGGUCAUAAUCUCACGGUUUGUGAGUUCAAGCCCCGUGUUGGG